AAAAAAAAAAAAAAAAAAAAAAAAGAGCUAGUUAAAAUUUAAUAUCUAAUAAUAUGAAAAACAACAAAAUAAAGUGUUAUACCUCAAACUCAUCAAUCCUGUUGAAGUAGGAAUUAGCCAACAUCUCCUCCACGUAUUUAUUUAUACUUUCCGUAAGUUCUUCACCUGUUAAACCUUUUCGUUCUGCAAUAUUUUUGCCAUUUUUCCAAAAAUACAUUUUUGUAGACUCUCUUAUGCUUGUAGUGUCAAGAGAUUGGGCAUACUGUUUCUUUGAUAUCUUGUUUUUUUGGUAUUUUUCAUAUUCUCUAACUGUAUGAUAAUAGUCAUUUCCCUUAGCAUAUAUUUGUUCAGUUUUGAAAAAUUCAGCGCGUUGGCUACCAUAGCUCCUUGCAAGUGGAGGAAUUUGACUAGAAAGUAAUUUUUUAAACAUUUUGUUUUGUUGAUAAUGACAGUACACGAGCAGUAUAAAGGGAGCAAGCUUUAGGUUCAAGCCCUUU
rnacentral:lncRNA from 1 species